rnacentral:rRNA from 1 species
UCGAACGAUGAACUCCAGCUUGCUGGGGGUCUUAGUGGCGAAGGGGUGAGUAACACGUGAGUAACCUGCCCUUGACUCUGGGAUAACACUGGAAACGGUGUCUAAUACCGGAUACGACCUUCCGCCGCAUGGUGAGGGGGUGGAAAGAAUUUCGGUCAAGGAUGGACUCGCGGCCUAUCCCCUUGUUGGUGAGGUAAUGGCUCACCAAGGCGACGACGGGUAGCCGGCCUGAGAGGGUGACCGGCCACACUGGGACUGAGACACGGCCCAGACUCCUACGGGAGGCAGCAGUGGGGGAAUAUUGCACAAUGGGGCGAAAGCCUGAU